rnacentral:tRNA from 1 species
GGAAUAGCUCAGGGGUUAGAGUACCAACCAAAAUGCAGGUUCGAAUCCUGCUUCC